UACGUAGGGGGCAAGCGUUGUCCGGAUUUACUGGGCGUAAAGAGCGCGUAGGCGGAAGCUUAAGUGUGGCCUGAAAGCCCCCGGCUCAACCGGGGAGGGUGGCUGCAAACUGGGCUUCUUGAGGUCGAUAGAGGAGAGCGGAAUUCCUGGUGUAGCGGUGAAAUGCGUAGAUAUCGGGAGGAACACCAGUGGCGAAGGCGACUACCUGGCCUGUUCUUGACGCUGAGGCGCGAAAGCUAGGGGAGCAAACGGG
rnacentral:rRNA from 1 species